GUGCUCACUUCGGCAUCACAUAUACUAAAAUUGAAACGAUACAGAGAAGAUUAGCAUGGCCCCUAUGCAAGAAUGACACACAAAUUCGUGAAGCAUUCCAUACUUUU
ensembl:snRNA U6 U6 spliceosomal RNA